rnacentral:rRNA from 1 species
CAGUCGCCGCGGGAAAACGUAGGUGGCAAGCGUUGUCCGGAAUUAUUGGGCGUAAAGGGCUCGCAGGCGGUUUCUUAAGUCUGAUGUGAAAGCCCCCGGCUCAACCGGGGAGGGUCAUUGGAAACUGGGAAACUUGAGUGCAGAAGAGGAGAGUGGAAUUCCACGUGUAGCGGUGAAAUGCGUAGAGAUGUGGAGGAACACCAGUGACGAAGGCGACUCUCUGGUCUGUAACUGACGCUGAGGAGCGAAAGCGUGGGGAGCGAACAGGAUUAGAUACCCCCGUAGUCCCUGUCUCUUAUAC